GUGAGGUCGAACUGCGGAAGGACAUUG
rnacentral:rRNA from 1 species